UACGUAGGGAGCAAGCGUUGUCCGGAAUUACUGGGUGUAAAGGGAGCGUAGGCGGGGAUGCAAGUUGGGUGUCAAAACUACCGGCUCAACCGAUAGUCGCACUCAAAACUGCAGCUCUUGAGUGAAGUAGAGGCAGGCGGAAUUCCUAGUGUAGCGGUGAAAUGCGUAGAUAUUAGGAGGAACACCGGCGGCGAAGGCGGCCUGCUGGACGAUGACUGACGUUGAGGCUCGAAAGCGUGGGUAUCGAACAGG
rnacentral:rRNA from 1 species